rfam:Fructobacillus sp. EFB-N1 FEFB_c000006, whole genome shotgun sequence.
GGGCUCGUCUUGGAAUUCGACAGGCUGUUACGAGCAUUAGCUGCAUUCCGCCAUCCGGGCGUAAAGCGGGCAGACAUUUAACUGCAAAAAACAAUAACUCUUACGCUGUCGCUGCCUAAAAACCAGUGAUUCGUAGCCAAGAUUGUUAGGCUGACAUGGUGGUCUUGGUUUAAUAAAUGGUCAGAUCGGCUUAAUGGUGAUGCCUGCACGGUUAAGUUUAAAUCAAUUAGGUUCCCAGUCAGAGUCAAGUUCUGGACAAUGACUGCUUUGGCUGUGGUAUUAAUCAUUGCCCUAUGAAUGUAGACGCUAGUGUGGCGGUCGGCUUGGACAGGGGUUCGACUCCCCUCGAGUCCAUUG